rnacentral:rRNA from 1 species
CACGUAGGAGGCGAGCGUUGUCCGGAAUCAUUGGGCGUAAAGAGCGCGCAGGCGGCUUGGCAAGUCGGGUGUGAAAUCCCGGGGCUCAACCCCGGGACUGCAUUCGAUACUGUCAGGCUAGAGGUAGGUAGGGGAGAUCGGAAUUCCUGGUGUAGCGGUGAAAUGCGCAGAUAUCAGGAGGAACACCGGUGGCGAAGGCGGAUCUCUGGGCCUUACCUGACGCUCAGGCGCGAAAGCUAGGGGAGCGAACGGG